GAUCAUGGCUCAGGAUGAACGCUGGCGGCGUGCUUAACACAUGCAAGUCGAACGAAGCAUUUAGAACGGAUUAUUUCGGUAUGAAGUUCUUUAUGACUGAGUGGCGGACGGGUGAGUAACGCGUGGGUAACCUGCCUUGUACUGGGGGAUAGCAGCUGGAAACGGCUGGUAAUACCGCAUAAGCGCACAAUGUUGCAUGACAUGGUGUGAAAAACUCCGGUGGUAUAAGAUGGACCCG
rnacentral:rRNA from 1 species